rnacentral:rRNA from 1 species
CAAGACCUGCGCUUUUGGAGCGGCCGAUGCCUGAUUAGCUAGUUGGUGGGGUAAUGGCCUACCAAAGCUUCGAUCAGUAGCUGGUCUGAGAGGACGGCCAGCCACACUGGGACUGAGACACGGCCCAGACUCCUACGGGAGGCAGCAGUGGGGAAUUUUGGACAAUGGGGGCAACCCUGAUCCAGCCAUGCCGCGUGAGUGAAGAAGGCCUUCGGGUUGUAAAGCUCUUUCAGCCGGAACGAAACGGUUACGGUUAACACCCGUGACUACUGACGGUACCGGAAGAAGAAGCACCGGCUAACUACGUGCCAGCAGCCGCGGUAAUACGUAGGGUGCGAGCGUUAAUCGGAAUUACUGGGCGUAAAGGGUGCGCAGGCGGUUUUGUAAGUCAGAUGUGAAAUCCCCGGGCUUAACCUGAGAACU